UACGUAGGGGGCAAGCGUUGUCCGGAAUCAUUGGGCGUAAAGAGCGCGUAGGCGGCCCUGUAAGUCCGCUGUGAAAGUCAAGGGCUCAACCCCGAACUUGCAGUGGGGUACGGGCAGACUAGAGUGUGGUAGGGGAGACUGGAAUUCCUGGUGUAGCGGUGAAAUGCGCAGAUAUCAGGAGGAACACCGAUGGCGAAGGCAGG
rnacentral:rRNA from 1 species